AAAGAAACCGAUCAAUAAGGCAAGCACUAGAAAUAUCUAUGCCAAAUGAAGCACUGUCUUUACCGGGGGCAUAUGUUAAGCUAAUGAUUUUAGAAGAACACGCAAACUGGAGCUUGCCAUAUAAUGGGCCAAUAAAACCCUUCUCUUAUCCUGACUUGGGUUUGGCUUUCCAUUUGAAUAGGACUCUCGGCCAUUUACCAGCUCUCUCUCCGAGAAUCCCUGGCCUAAAUGACGACAAAAGAAUUGAAGCCUGCCAACAUUGUUGUGCCGGAAAAUCCUUUAGAGGAUGACAAGAACACAACAUUGAUGAUUGGCUCACCGCGAGCAACCAAUCGACCACUUCUGUCCAAGCAAUCAAGUCAGAAGGCGAGCUGCUUGUGCUCUCCAACCACCCAUGCCGGAUCUUUUCGUUGCAGGCUUCACAGAAGUUCUCUCCACCAUCAUAAUAGCCAUUCAGUCGGUUCGGGGCUCUCAGAGUUGGCUGACAAAUCGACGUCUGAUGAAAAUUCCAUGGGGACAGGAUGAUCUUGGUUCUCCAUUGCUUCCUAAAAACCACCCUAUGAAAUCAAACCAGAGUUUGUUCAUGUCGGCAAAAUAUUUAGUCAAAUCUGGCAAGGGCAAGGCCUUUUCAGCAACUUGCAUUCCCGUGGGAAAUUUCGAGUUUCUUAUUAUUUGUACAUGUAUAUAAGACAACAUUGGGUAUGUAUUGCAUGGUUUAUUUAAUGAAACAUGAAGUUAUCUUGUUUCUGUCAUCUUUUUCUAA